CCCAAUCCCCUCCCCUAGCCCCGCCUCUUCCCGAUCGGGGACCCCAGCCCCACUGCCUGCAGCGCACCCCACUGCGCCCCACGAGUCCCAUUUUUGCUUGCCUAGAGCAAAUUUGCCCAAGCGCUGACUUUUUAGGAAUUCCCUUCGUCCCCUCGCAGAGACCUUCUGCGGCUCCCCCGCCCCUUGUCCCGCCGCCCAGACGUGGCAUCCUUGCGGGGUGGGCUGUAUAAAGGACCCGAGGCAGCGCGGGCCAAGAUUGGAGACGUGGCGCGUCGGCUCAGCCAGCCCAGGCUCCAGAGCUUGGUCUCAGCUCCUAGAGGAGAGGAGCAGGGAAGGGCUGAAGAGAACACAGCCUGGAGCCAUGAAGAUGCAGCUGUGGACCAUACAGAGAUGCAGCCAUGGACCAUACAUGACCUUCCGGAGAAGCCUCAUAACUGUGAUGAGAUGCAUUAAGAUGUGUUGAGAAUGCAUUUAAAAAUUACAUAUAUAUGCACAGAGAUAUAAGUGCUGGCUAGUUUUUGUCAACCUGACACAAACCUGAAUCACUUGGGAAUGGGGAAGCUCCACAAGUAAUUUCCUCCACCAGCUAAUUGAUGUGGGGGGCCCAGCCCCCUAUGGGCGGUACCAUCCCUAUGCAAGUAGGCC